CAUGAUUUGCCACAAGGUUUAUGAAUUUUUAAUCAGUAUUUGAUAAUAUUAAAUACGAUAGUUUAUAGACCCUUUUCAUAAAUGGCUACCGAUUAAAUAUUCUUUUAUGUGCAUAUAAAUUGGCCCAACUAGCCUCGUACUCAUGUUAAGAUUUCAAAGGAAUUUCUACCCAGAAACGAGGCUAGUUGGGCCAAUUUAUAUGCACAUAAAAGAAUUUUUAAUCGGCAGCCAUUUAUGAAAAGGGUCUAUGCAAAGGGUCAGCCUGUGUGCAUUCAGACGAAACAUCAGGACACGAGCCAGACGUUCCCAUUACAUUU